rnacentral:rRNA from 1 species
UACGUAGGUGGCAAGCGUUGUCCGGAUUUACUGGGCGUAAAGAGCGCGCAGGCGGUCGGAUAAGUCGAAUGUGAAAGCCCCCGGCUCAACUGGGGAGGGUCAUUCGAUACUGUUCGACUCGAAGGCAGGAGAGGGAAGCGGAAUUCCCGGUGUAGUGGUGAAAUGCGUAGAUAUCGGGAGGAACACCAGUGGCGAAGGCGGCUCUCUGGUACGUGACUGACGCUGAGACGCGAAAGCGUGGGGAGCAAACAGG